UUUGCUUCUAUACUCUUUGGAGCCGUUGAGAGCUCGCGCCUAGAGGAGCCGAAAACCGCGAAAUCUGAUCUGAGAUCUGCAAAAACUCUCGCGAGACUCGCUGCCCGACGACUUAUCGAGGUCAAAGCCAAACCUUGACAAUCUCGCGAGAUUUUUCCCAGUUUGCGGGCUAGUAGUUGUACUAAUUUUGAGUAUUUUUAAAUAUAACUUUACUUGUACUAUAGUAUUUUUUUGUACUGAAAGCUACUACCAGUAAAACGUCCGCCUACAAAACUGGUUAUAGGCUUGUGUGGACUGGUUCUACUGGGAAAGAGACGCUGUGUGAACUGGUUAUAAUGAUGCACGGAGAAGCAGCACAGAAGUUUUACCUGGAGACUACCUGGAUGACGCUUCUACAGUGUAGUCGCAGUACAAAGGAGCCGCUUCAUGGUCGGCACGAACGGGACGACGCACGACUUUCUCAACAUACACACGAACACCAAGGUCAGAGCCGCAUUACCCAUGAGCCUCCUCUUCUGUGGAGCUCUCCUGGGCGCUACUGCUGCCACCUGUGGAACCCGACCAAUGAGAAGGAGAGCUGGGGUGAGUGAGGGGUGAUGACAUCACACCGAGGCAAUCACGCACACACACAGAGGGUGUUAAAGGUGACGGAGGGCGUUUAAAAAGAGAGGAAACGCGACAAGAUGGCACGAGAGGGACGAAGAAGAAGAAGAAGAAGCAGCAAGGUUCUGCUACAGAACCUUUAACAAAUUCCAUUUCCCAUAAGCCCGAGGGACUGCGAGGGCUCAAAGUCACAGCUCGACAAAAGAGGUUCUGUCUCCCAUAGAAGUUUACAAUACCUAUGGAUGUACAGACAACUACCACUGGAUUACUUUGAUACUGAAGAAAACGUGUCUAUUCUGAGGCGGUUCUGCAGUUACACGCUUGGUCUGACUGUUGGGAAGGAUCUUAAUCUCAGGAGGAUCUGGACUCUGACCGACCCGCGACGCCAUGAGAGCGUUCAGAUACUGGAGACGUGUCACCUACAAACGACGGAGAAAAAGUCUGAAUUGAAUGUUUCAGAGAGAAAGGCUCCAUUCACUUUCUAGAUAAUAGAGACACUCUAAUUAAAUCUUCUGUCAGACUGUAAAUACAAACAUAAUUAUGUAAAGAAUAACCUACAGGUUUUAAAAACCAAAGCAAUGACGCUGUUAUUUGCUCUAUUUUUAAUAAAUGUAUUAAAAAGAAAAAAACACUU